AAUUUGGAUAUUAGCAAGCUGAAUGGAGAUCAAAUUCAGACAUUGAUUCAACAACUCUCAAGUCAUAUUCAAGUUUCAGAGCCUUUGGCACCUUCCCCAUCCACAUCAAAAGUCACAGAGCAUGGUAUAAUGGUUGUUCAAUCAUCAUCGGGAGUUUAUUCAGGGCUUGACGAUUGGUAGAGGCAUACUUCUGCAUAAUCUCUACAUAUUACAACUUGAUGCACCUUCUACUCAUGAUGAAUUCUCUGGAUCCUUGAUGGCUGAUGGAAUUCUUUGGCAUCAACGCCUUGGACACCCAUCUGCUGACAAGUUACAAUGCAUUUCUGGUACUCUUUCUUUGUCUAAGUCUGCUUUUAAACAUCCAUCUCAUUGUUCCAUCUGUCACUUAGCAAAACAAAAAAGAUUGUCUUAUGAGUCUCAUAAUCAUUUGUCUUCACUUCCAUUUGAUCUAAUUCAUUUAGAUGUGUGGGGUCCUUUCUCUAUAGAGUCUGUAGAAGGAUAUAAAUACUUUCUUACAAUAGUUGAUGAUUGUACACGUGUAACAUGGGUUUAUAUGAUGAAGAAUAAAAGUGAAGUUACACAACA